AUCGGCUUGCCUGAAGUGCUCAAGGCCGUGCGAGGGGUUACGUUAGCUUCUGAAAUCAUCUUUGUGUCGGAGAUCACGACCAGCGUUGCGUGCAUAAAUGUGUCCUCCUAAGCACUCUGAUUUCGUCGUCAGCUACUCGGCUAAAUUGGGACUCCUUGUUUGUUCUGGUCAGGCAACUCAAGUUCCUCAAAUUUCCGAGGUUUGACGCCGGAUGCCCACCAUGACGCGACCCGCCCUAUCUUUCCGCGUGCCCUGACUGUCGACUGUGAUUGUAAACUGAUUCUUGAAAUAUCAGUGGCAACCGACCAGCAGAUACCAGACAUCACGUGGACAGACAACCUUCUCCAUACCACAUACCUCCUCCGUUUUGGACAACCGACGUCACGCACCACCUGCUCCGUACCACACUCAUUGUACGCCAGAUAGCUGCUGCAUUUUGAACAAAUGAGAUCACAGACCACCUGCUCCAUACCAUGUGUGACCGGAUGUGCCGUUAUCUAUCACAGGCGUGACUAGAGAUGACGUCAUGGGACACAGGUGCUCGGGGCGAUCACAUUUUAAUAUCCCUCUCUUGUACGAAAAGUGAGAAAAGAUCAGCAAAUAUAUUCUAUUGGAAUACUCUUUUAUUGUUAUUAUUAUUAUUUUUGACAGUUGAUAACACGUAGACGUUGCUAGAACCGCUCGCCAUGACAAAAUAUUUGGGACUCCGAAUGAGUUUGUGCUUUAUAUCAUGGUUUAGAACCUUGUGGAUUGGACUCGUUUUCACUGUCAUUCGUUGUCUUCAUCAAAGUCCCAUAUUUAUCUUGUGGUGCUGAGCAGCACAAAUUAAUGCGCCGCUCAGACCCGCUUUUGAUGCUUCCUUUCUUUGUCAGUGACCACACGCGUGAGACAUAUUUUUGCUUAAGGAAGUUUGGCAGGCACAGUUGACGGCUUUGAUCCCUUGAGUUCAAUUUGCCUCAUAUUAAAGUCCAUGGUUUUCUCAAUGACAGAACCUUCUGCAAGGAAACAAUCAUUUGACGGGUUCCUAGUUUUUGUUAUUCGCAAGAAGAUGCUUUGUAACAUUCUUAUCUUGGCUGUUGACACUUUAUGCGACAAAUUAGGCACUUUUCAAGCAACUUUUGGUAACGGAAUAAUUUCCUCUGCUGAUUGUCAUCGUAACAUUACGAAGUAUGUCAUUAUUUUCUCUUGACAUGACAUUCAUUCUUUAAAAAAAAAAAAAAAAGGUCAUAGUGCAUGACCGCACUCUUUAUCUUUUGUAACUGUUUAGCAUGAGCAUAAUAUCAUAGUAUUAUGUUCAUUCUAUGGAGAUGUGCAGUUUAUUGAUAGACUGGUGGUAGUCACACGUUCAGCUGCCUUUUGCUGAAAAAUGAAGGUCCAUUUCGACAAAAUGUCAACUAGAUGAAAAUGAAUCUGUUAUUAUUUUCCAUCCAUCCAUGCGUUUCCUAUACCACUUAACCUGUUCAGGUUCAUGGGGAGCUAAAGCCUAUGUUAUACAGUGGACCCCUGCACAUUUGCAAUUUGCCAUUUGUAAAUUCACCUAUUCUCAGAUUUUUUUGGGGGGGACCUAUCCUCUGUUAUUUGCAGGAAAAACUUGGCUUUUUCACAAUUUUGAGCAUUUUUAGUUGCGCUAUCCUGUCUACAGUAUGUAUGAUCUUUAAUUGCAUUGUAGCGUCCCAUUGGUUGAGAUGAUGAAUGGUCACUGCUGGCUGUAAACAUGGCAAAAAAGCCACUGGAAUCUAAAUUGUUAUGCAAUUUAUAUUUUUCUUUGAUUUUCUUAAAUAGUUGAUACAAAUGACAGCUGCCAUAAUGUUCAGGUCAU